AAAAAAAAUUUUAUGUCUCCAAGUACGCCGUAAUUUUCUAUGUAAAUUAGGCGGCCAUUGUCGAAUCUCGGCAAAGAUUUUACCCCAGUGAAAAAGUCCUCAAACCUGGAAGAUAUGUUUUGUUCCUAACCAAUCCAUUCUCUAAGUGAAGUGAAGCCUGGCUGCUGGUCUUCCUUUGGGGAAAUACACAGGGAAAGAAAAAAAAAACUUCUUGAGUGUUUCUACUGCCUCCCCCCAGAGAUCUGCUUAUGAGUGCAUGGGGAUUACAGUGGACCUUCAUCUCCGGUUUAAAAGAGACUUUAGAGUAUAACAGAUAAAAAGUAGAAUCCAUGACCCCCCACAGGCAGGGAGCUGGAUCUGACUGUAGAAUGAGCUGAAAGUAGGAGAAAAGCCAUAUUUAUACAGUGGAUGACGU